rnacentral:rRNA from 2 species
UCGAACGAACUCUGGUAUUGAUUGGUGCUUGCAUCAUGAUUUACAUUUGAGUGAGUGGCGAACUGGUGAGUAACACGUGGGAAACCUGCCCAGAAGCGGGGGAUAACACCUGGAAACAGAUGCUAAUACCGCAUAACAACUUGGACCGCAUGGUCCGAGUUUGAAAGAUGGCUUCGGCUAUCACUUUUGGAUGGUCCCGCGGCGUAUUAGCUAGAUGGUGGGGUAACGGCUCACCAUGGCAAUGAUACGUAGCCGACCUGAGAGGGUAAUCGGCCACAUUGGGACUGAGACACGGCCCAAACUCCUACGGGAGGCAGCAGUAGGGAAUCUUCCACAAUGGACGAAAGUCUGAUGGAGCAACGCCGCGUGAGUGAAGAAGGGUUUCGGCUCGUAAAACUCUGUUGUUAAAGAAGAACAUAUCUGAGAGUAACUGUUCAGGUAUUGACGGUAUUUAACCAGAAAGCCACGGCUAACUACGUGCCAGCAGCCGCGGUAAUACGUAGGUGGCAAGCGUUGUCCGGAUUUAUUGGGCGUAAAGCGAGCGCAGGCGGUUUUUUAAGUCUGAUGUGAAAGCCUUCGGCUCAACCGAAGAAGUGCAUCGGAAACUGGGAAACUUGAGUGCAGAAGAGGACAGUGGAACUCCAUGUGUAGCGGUGAAAUGCGUAGAUAUAUGGAAGAACACCAGUGGCGAAGGCGGCUGUCUGGUCUGUAACUGACGCUGAGGCUCGAAAGUAUGGGUAGCAAACAGGAUUAGAUACCCUGGUAGUCCAUACCGUAAACGAUGAAUGCUAAGUGUUGGAGGGUUUCCGCCCUUCAGUGCUGCAGCUAACGCAUUAAGCAUUCCGCCUGGGGAGUACGGCCGCAAGGCUGAAACUCAAAGGAAUUGACGGGGGCCCGCACAAGCGGUGGAGCAUGUGGUUUAAUUCGAAGCUACGCGAAGAACCUUACCAGGUCUUGACAUACUAUGCAAAUCUAAGAGAUUAGACGUUCCCUUCGGGGACAUGGAUACAGGUGGUGCAUGGUUGUCGUCAGCUCGUGUCGUGAGAUGUUGGGUUAAGUCCCGCAACGAGCGCAACCCUUAUUAUCAGUUGCCAGCAUUAAGUUGGGCACUCUGGUGAGACUGCCGGUGACAAACCGGAGGAAGGUGGGGAUGACGUCAAAUCAUCAUGCCCCUUAUGACCUGGGCUACACACGUGCUACAAUGGAUGGUACAACGAGUUGCGAACUCGCGAGAGUAAGCUAAUCUCUUAAAGCCAUUCUCAGUUCGGAUUGUAGGCUGCAACUCGCCUACAUGAAGUCGGAAUCGCUAGUAAUCGCGGAUCAGCAUGCCGCGGUGAAUACGUUCCCGGGCCUUGUACACACCGCCCGUCACACCAUGAGAGUUUGUAACACCCAAAGUCGGUGGGGUAACCUUUUAGGAACCAGCCGCCUAA